rnacentral:rRNA from 1 species
AUGUCUCCUAAGGCUACCAAGGCCCCUGUAACUUGCAAUUGGGUUCCAUCUAUAGUUACCAAUAGCAAACUAGCUGAGUUUGUGAAGUCUGGGCAUCUGCCAAAAAAGGAUGUUAUGUCUUACCGUGCCCCUGACCCGUCUGAAGAAAAGCCUCAUCCCAAAGCAGGGGAAGUAAUAAUUUUUACGGAUCAUAUGAGCCGUGGAUUUGCUCCUCCCGGCUCAAAAUUCUUCAGAGAGAUUUUAAAUUUCUUUGACCUUAGACCUCAAGACAUCGGACCCAAUUCCGUGUCAAAUAUUUGCAAUUUUCAAGUCUUCUGCGAGGUGUACCUGGGAGAGGAGCCAAGUCUGCUUUUGUUCAGGGAACUUCUUUACAUGAACCGGCAAAAUGAACGUGCCAACGGGCCCAGUCUUGAGCUUGGCGGCAUCUCAAUCCAGCGACGGAGAGAUUGUCUUUUCCCUUAUGCCGAGUUACCGAGCCACCCAAAAUCUUGGAACCAGACGUGGUUCUACUGCCAGGACACUUCUCCGGCUGAUGAAAAACCUCUGCCCGGCUUUCGCGCCCUGCGCCUUGAGUCUAACCAUCCGCUACCAGACAAGCUGACAACCCUUGAACGCGUGCCUCUCAAUUCCACCAUCAAGAAGAUUAAAGCUCUCUUGGGAAAUGGUUUAAACGGCAUCGAUCUGGUCCGAGUCUGGGUCACUUGGCGUAUACUUCCAUUAAGCCGCCAUCCCGGCUUAAUGUGUACUUAUACUGGAGAAAAGAAUGAUCCACUACACCAUAGCCCUGAUGACUUACCAGAUGACAUGGUGGAUGCUACAACCCAGUCACUGCUGAAGGAGGGCACUGUGACGAGCAACGCCUUCGGCUUACUUCCAUUUUGUAAGAACUAG